CGAAAGUCUGACGAGCAACGCCGCGUGAGUGAUGAAGGUUUUCGGAUUCGUAAAGCUCUGUUGUUAGGGAAGAACAAGUACCGUUCGAAUAGGGCGGUACCUUGACGGUACCUAACCCAGAAAAGCCACGGCUAACUACGUGCCAGCAGCCGCGGUAAUACGUAGGUGGCAAGCGUUGUCCGGGAAUUAUUGGGCGUAAAGGGCUCGCAGGCGGUUUCUUAAGUCUGAUGUGAAAGCCCCCCGGCUCAACCGGGGAGGGUCAUUGGAAACUGGGGAACUUGAGUGCAGAAGAGGAGAGUGGAAUUUCCACGUGUAGCGGUGAAAUGCGUAGAGAUGUGGAGGAACACCAGUGGCGAAGGCGACUCUCUGGUCUGUAACUGACGCUGAGGAGCGAAAGCGUGGGGAGCGAACAGGAUUAGAUACCCUGGUAGUCCACGCCGUAAACGAUGACUGCUAAGUGUUAGGGGGUUUCCGCCCCUUAGUGCUGCAGCUAACGCAUUAAGCACUCCGCCUGGGGAGUACGGUCGCAAGACUGAAACUCAAAGGAAUUGACGGGGGCCCGCACAAGCGGUGGAGCAUGUGGUUUAAUUCGAAGCAACGCGAAGAACCUUACCAGGUCUUGACAUCCUCUGACAAUCCUAGAGAUAGGACGUCCCCUUCGGGGGCAGAGUGACAGGUGGUGCAUGGUUGUCGUCAGCUCGUGUCGUGAGAUGUUGGGUUAAGUCCCGCAACGAGCGCAACCCUUGAUCUUAGUUGCCAGCAUUCAGUUGGGCACUCUAAGGUGACUGCCGGUGACAAACCGGAGGAAGGUGGGGAUGACGUCAAAUCAUCAUGCCCCUUAUGACCUGGGCUACACACGUGCUACAAUGGACAGAAC
rnacentral:rRNA from 1 species